rnacentral:rRNA from 1 species
AGAUUGAACGCUGGCGGCAGGCCUAACACAUGCAAGUCGAGCGGCAGCACGGGUACUUGUACCUGGUGGCGAGCGGCGGACGGGUGAGUAAUGCCUAGGAAUCUGCCUGAUAGUGGGGGAUAACGUUCGGAAACGGACGCUAAUACCGCAGUACGUCCUACGGGAGAAAGUGGGGGAUCUUCGGACCUCGACGCUAUCAGAUGAGCCUAGGUCGGAUUAGCUAGUUGGAGGGUAAAGGCCUACCAAGGCUACGAGUCCGUAACUGGUCUGAGAGGACUGAUCGAGUCACGACUGGAACUGAGACACGGUCCAGACGUCCUACGGGAGGCAGCAAGUCGGGGAAUAUGGACAAGUGGGCGAAAGCCUGAUCCAGCCAUGCCGCGUGUGUGAAGAAGGUCUUCGGAUUGUAAAGCACUUUAAGUGGUAGGA